rnacentral:rRNA from 1 species
AGAGUUUGAUCCUGGCUCAGGAUGAACGCUAGCGACAGGCUUAACACAUGCAAGUCGAGGGGCAGCGGGGUAGGAAGCUUGCUUUCUGCCGCCGGCGACCGGCGCACGGGUGAGUAACACGUAUGCAACCUGGCCGUGACAGAUGGAUAACCGGGAGAAAUCCCGCCUAAUACAACAUAAUGCCGGGAGGGGACAUCCCCUGCCGGCCAAAGGGGGCGACCCCGGUCACGGAUGGGCAUGCGGCGCAUUAGGUAGUUGGUGGGGCAACGGCCCACCAAGCCGACGAUGCGUAGGGGUUCUGAGAGGAAGGUCCCCCACAUUGGAACUGAGACACGGUCCAAACUCCUACGGGAGGCAGCAGUGAGGAAUAUUGGUCAAUGGCCGGAAGGCUGAACCAGCCAAGUCGCGUGAGGGAAUAAGGCCCUACGGGUCGUAAACCUCUUUUGCCAGGGAGCAAUGCCGUCCACGUGUGGACGGAAGGAGAGUACCUGGAGAAAAAGCAUCGGCUAACUCCGUGCCAGCAGCCGCGGUAAUACGGAGGAUGCGAGCGUUAUCCGGAUUUAUUGGGUUUAAAGGGUGCGUAGGCGGCCUGCCAAGUCAGCGGUAAAAUUGCGGGGCUCAACCCCGUACAGCCGUUGAAACUGCCGGGCUCGAGUGGGCGAGAAGUAUGCGGAAUGCGUGGUGUAGCGGUGAAAUGCAUAGAUAUCACGCAGAACCCCGAUUGCGAAGGCAGCAUACCGGCGCCCGACUGACGCUGAGGCACGAAAGUGCGGGGAUCAAACAGGAUUAGAUACCCUGGUAGUCCGCACAGUAAACGAUGAAUGC